CACGUAGGCGGAUUGGAAAGUUGGGGGUGAAAUCCCGGGGCUCAACCUCGGAACUGCCUUCAAAACUCCCAGUCUUGAGGUCGAGAGAGGUGAGUGGAAUUCCGAGUGUAGAGGUGAAAUUCGUAGAUAUUCGGAGGAACACCAGUGGCGAAGGCGGCUCACUGGCUCGAUACUGACGCUGAGGUGCGAAAGCGUGGGGAGCAAACAGGAUUAGAUACCCGUGUA
rnacentral:rRNA from 1 species